GCUGCGGUGGCCGAGAGGUUAGGCGCACGAUACGAAUACGUAGUUCCGCGCUUUUCAUCGUUCUACGUGGGUUCGAUUCCCAGCCGUGGCA